rnacentral:rRNA from 1 species
AUUGAACGCUGGCGGCAAGCCUAACACAUGCAAGUCGAACGAGUCGCGCACGGGUGAAUAAUAUCUGGGAAACUCCCUGAUGGGGGGGGAUAACUACUGGACACGGUCUCAUAUACCGCAUACCCUCUGGAAUGCCCAUAUGGGAUUAGCUUGUAGGUGGGGUAACGGCUCACCUAGGCGACGACCCCUAGCUGGUCUGAGAGGAUGAACAGCCACACUGGGACUGAGACACGGCCCAGACUCCUACGGGAGGCAGCAGUGGGGAAUAUUGCACAAUGGGCGCAAGCCUGAUGCAGCCAUGCCGCGUGUAUGAAGAAGGCCGGAGGGUUGUAAAGUACUUUCAGCGGGGAGGCGUUACCGACAGAAGAAGCACCGGCUAACUCCGUGCCAGCAGCCGCGGUAAUAC